rnacentral:rRNA from 1 species
CCUACGGGAGGCAGCAGUGAGGAAUAUUGGUCAAUGGCCGGAAGGUUGAACCAGCCAAGCCGCGUGAAGGACGAAGGUGCCAAGCAUUGUAAACUUCUUUUGUCAAGGGACAAAAUCAGGCUCGAGAGCCUGACCGAGGGUACUUGAAGAAAAAGCAUCGGCUAAGUCCGUUCCAGCAGCCGCGGUAAUACGGAGGAUGCGAGUGUUAUCCGGAUUUAUUGGGUUUAAAGGGUGCAUAGGCUGGCUGUUAAGUCCGCGGUAAAAGCCCGGGGCUCAACCCCGGCGAGCCGUUGAAACUGGCUGUCUUGAGAUGUCGAGAGGUAUGCGGAAUGCGCAGUGUAGCGGUGAAAGGCUUAGAUAUUGCGCAGAACUCCGAUUGCGAAGGCAGCAUACCGGCGGCGAUCUGACGCUGAGGCACGAAAGCGUGGGUAUCGAACAGGAUUAGAUACCCGAGUAGUC